rnacentral:rRNA from 1 species
UGACGGCGACCGGCGCACGGGUGAGUAACGCGUAUCCCACCUUCCGCUUACUCGGGGAUAGCCUUUCGAAAGAAAGAUUAAUACCCGAUGGUAUGAUGAGAUUGCAUGAUAUCAUCAUUAAAGAUUUAUCGGUAAGCGAUGGGGAUGCGUUCCAUUAGGUAGUAGGCGGGGUAACGGCCCACCUAGCCAACGAUGGAUAGGGGUUCUGAGAGGAAGGUCCCCCACAUUGGAACUGAGACGCGGUCCAAACUCCUACGGGAGGCAGCAGUGAGGAAUAUUGGUCAAUGGACGAGAGUCUGAACCAGCCAAGUAGCGUGAAGGAUGAAGGUCCUACGGAUUGUAAACUUCUUUUAUAAGGGAAUAAAACCUCCCACGUGUGGGAGCUUGUAUGUACCUUAUGAAUAAGCAUCGGCUAACUCCGUGCCAGCAGCCGCGGUAAUACGGAGGAUGCGAGCGUUAUCCGGAUUUAUUGGGUUUAAAGGGAGCGCAGACGGGUCGUUAAGUCAGCUGUGAAAGUUUGGGGCUCAACCUUAAAAUUGCAGUUGAUACUGGCGUCCUUGAGUGCGGUUGAGGUGUGCGGAAUUCGUGGUGUAGCGGUGAAAUGCUUAGAUAUCACGAAGAACUCCGAUUG